CAGUCGCCGCGGUAGUACGUAGGUGGCAAGCGUCGUCCGGAAUUAUUGGGCGUAAAGGGCUCGCAGGCGGUUUCUUAAGUCUGAUGUGAAAGCCCCCGGCUCAACCGGGGAGGGUCAUUGGAAACUGGGAAACUUGAGUGCAGAAGAGGAGAGUGGAAUUCCACGUGUAGCGGUGAAAUGCGUAGAGAUGUGGAGGAACACCAGUGGCGAAGGCGACUCUCUGGUCUGUAACUGACGCUGAGGAGCGAAAGCGUGGGGAGCGAACAGGAUUAGAUACCCCUGUAGUCCCUGUCUCUUAUAC
rnacentral:rRNA from 1 species